AAUCAACGCUGGCGGCGUGCCUCAGACAUGCAAGUCGAACGCGAAAGGCCCCUUCGGGGGCCCGGUAGAGUGGCGCACGGGUGAGUAACACGUAGGUAAUUUGCCUUCGGGUGGGGAAGUAACAGCCGGAAACGGCUGCUAAUACCGCAUAAUGCAGCGGCUCGACAUCGAGACAGUUGUUAAAGCGGGGGAGUCGCAAGACCUCGCGCCUGAAGAGAAGCCUGCGGCAGAUAGCUUGUUGGUGAGGUAAUGGCUCACCAAGGCGACGAUCUGUAACCGGCCUGAGAGGGCGGUCGGUCACACUGACACUGACAUACGGGUCAGACUCCUACGGGGAGGCAGCAGUCGGGGAAUUUUGGGUCAAUGGGCGAAAAGCCUGACCCAGCAACGCCGCGUGAAGGAUGAAAUCUCUCGGGAUGUAAACUUCGCAAGAACGGGAAGAAUAAGUUUGGGAUAA
rnacentral:rRNA from 1 species